rnacentral:rRNA from 1 species
AACGAACGCUGGCGACAGGCUUAACACAUGCAAGUCGAGCGCCCCGCAAGGGGAGCGGCAGACGGGUGAGUAACGCGUGGGAAUCUACCCAUCUCUACGGAACAACGCAUGGAAACGUGUGCUAAUACCGUAUACGUCCUUCGGGAGAAAGAUUUAUCGGAGAUGGAUGAGCCCGCGUUGGAUUAGCUGGUUGGUGGGGUAAAGGCCUACCAAGGCGACGAUCCAUAGCUGGUCUGAGAGGAUGAUCAGCCACACUGGGACUGAGACACGGCCCAGACUCCUACGGGAGGCAGCAGUGGGGAAUAUUGGACAAUGGGCGCAAGCCUGAUCCAGCCAUGCCGCGUGAGUGAUGAAGGCCCUAGGGUUGUAAAGCUCUUUCACCGGUGAAGAUAAUGACGGUAACCGGAGAAGAAGCCCCGGCUAACUUCGUGCCAGCAGCCGCCGUAACAC